CCCUUAGAUGUUCUGGGCUGCACGCGCGCUACACUGAUGCAUCCAACAAGUUUUCUCCCUUGUUCGGUAGGACUGGGUAAUCUUUUGAGUAUGCAUCGUGAUGGGGAUAGAUUAUUGCAAUUAUUAAUCUUCAACGAGGAAUUCCUAGUAAGCGCAAGUCAACAGCUUGCGUUGAUUACGUCCCUGCCCUUUGUACACACCGCCCGUCGCUACUACUGAUUGGAUGUUUAAGCGAGGUUCUCGAACUGCUAGCGACUUAGCUUCGGUGAGGUCGCAGUGUGGGAAGUGAACCUAGCUUUGGUGUCUAGAGGAAGUAAAAGUCGUAACA
rnacentral:rRNA from 1 species